UGGACAGAAGGUGAAGAGGGAUGUGCCAAGAGAUAUGCUCAACACCAUCGUUCUGCAGCAAUCACUCAUACUAUUCUCUGCCUUCUAUUCAGUCAUGAGAGAGACUAACAGCAGAUUUCACGCUUGGAUACCUUUUAUCUUCAAAGAAAACAUUCCCUGCACCUUGUGUAAGACAUCAGUUCUGGAGCUUUGCCAUCUGUGGAAUUGUUUCCAUCUUCCCUGGGUUUUGGUCAAACAUGUUUUGUGAUGAGUAUAUGGUUUAAGUACUUAUCCCAUUCAUUUCAGCUUAGCAGCUCUGUCUCCUCUUUUUUUCUCCUCUUUGCCAGAAGUUUCCAUUGCAGUCCUGCGUUGGGAUAGUGACUGUGUACUAGACAUGAGGUCUUUCACAACUGUAUUGCCUCCUGAUGCUGAUGUGAGAAGUGAUGUUUUGGAACUUAACUACAAAAUGACAUAAGUUAGAUGUAUAUUUUCCAAUACGGAAACUCACCACACAAAGUUUUAUACCUUCUAUGUCAGGUUAAACCUGCCAAAGACAUGGGUUUUCAUCCAACCUGAAAAUAUUUGAUAUUUACCUGAUCAUCUGGAAUGCUGUCAUGAACCAUAU
rnacentral:lncRNA from 1 species